UACGUAGGGGGCGAGCGUUGUCCGGAUUUAUUGGGCGUAAAGAGCUCGUAGGCGGUUUGGUAAGUCGGGUGUGAAAUCUCCAGGCUCAACUUGGAGAGGUCAUUCGAUACUGCCAUGACUCGAGUCCGGUAGGGGAGUGUGGAAUACCUGGUGGAGCGGUGAAAUGCGCAGAUAUCAGGUGGAACACCCGUAGCGAAGGCGGCACUCUGGGCCGGAACUGACGCUGAGGAGCGAAAGCGUGGGGAGCGAACA
rnacentral:rRNA from 1 species